CCUACGGGGAGCAGCAGUGGGGAAUAUUGGACAAUGGGCGAAAGCCUGAUCCAGCCAUGCCGCGUGUGUGAAGAAGGCCUUCGGGUUGUAAAGCACUUUCAGUGGGGAAGAAAGCCUUGGGGCUAAUACCCUCGAGGAAGGACAUCACCCACAGAAGAAGCACCGGCUAACUCCGUGCCAGCAGCCGCGGUAAUACGGAGGGUGCGAGCGUUAAUCGGAAUUACUGGGCGUAAAGCGCGCGUAGGCGGUCUGAUAAGCCGGUUGUGAAAGCCCCGGGCUCAACCUGGGAACGGCAUCCGGAACUGUCAGGCUAGAGUGCAGGAGAGGAAGGUAGAAUUCCCGGUGUAGCGGUGAAAUGCGUAGAGAUCGGGAGGAAUACCAGUGGCGAAGGCGGCCUUCUGGACUGACACUGACGCUGAGGUGCGAAAGCGUGGGUAGCAAACAGGAUUAGAUACCCGAGUAAUC
rnacentral:rRNA from 1 species